rnacentral:rRNA from 1 species
AUGACGCCGACACCUGCGCGCGCCUCGGCAGCCACCGCACACGCCCUGCUAUGCAGAACCAGGUGCUCUCGGCGCCGAGCCCUCCCUGCCUCCUCUCGCUCCGUGAUCUCUCACCCGGCUCAUCCAUUCGGUUGCGCGGAGAAGGUUGGUGGUGUGAAAGUUGGAGAUGACGAGCUCGACGUUGCUAUUGUUGGUGGAGGCAUGGUGGGCUUGGCUGUUGCUUGUGCACUGUCCAAUAUGCCAUUGACCAAACAUCUGCGAGUUGCAGUCAUCGAUAGCAAUCCUGCAUUGAAGUCAAGGAAUUAUCUGAAAAAAGAUGGUGUACCUGAUUCAAGGGUCAGCACUGUUACUCCUGCAACCAUUUCCAUCUUCAGAGAUAUUGGUGCAUGGGAGCAUAUUCUACAGCAAAGACAUGCAUUCUUUGGUAAAAUGCAGGUGUGGGAUUACACCGGACUAGGAUACACGAGGUACAGCGCAAGAGAUGUGGGCAAAGAAUAUCUUGGAUGUGUGGUGGAGAACAAGGUGCUUUGUGAGCAAAAGAAAGACCUUGAAAAGAUGAUCUACCCUGCCCGAUUGCUACCAUCAACUGAGGCAGAUUCCAUUGGGAAUACUUCAGAGGAACUACGCCGUAGUAGUUUGGUUAAGCUUGAUCUAAGUGAUGGGCAGACUUUAUAUUCGAAGUUGGUGGUAGGAGCUGAUGGUUCCAAAUCAAAUGUAAGGCAGGUUGCUGGCAUAAAAACAACUGGGUGGAGUUAUCCUCAGAGUGCGAUUAUAUGCACAGUAGAGCAUACAACAGCGAAUGACUGUGCAUGGCAGAGGUUUCUCCCUUCUGGUCCGAUUGCCCUACUUCCAAUAGGUGACAACUUCAGCAAUAUAGUGUGGACAAUGAGCCCAGAGGAGGCAUCGCGCCAUAAGUCAAUGAGCUCUGAAGAUUUUGUGAUGUCAGUGAACCGUGCAUUGGAUUUUGGUUAUGGACCGCAUCCCAGCUCUAGUAGUCUUGACCAUUACAUGGAAAAGUUAUUUUCUGGCAGUGGACAUACUGCAGCGUCUACAAAAGAAUGCUUUGAAGUACCACCAAGAGCAAUUGGGUUGAUCUCUGAGAGAAUGGCAUUUCCGUUGUCACUGAUGCAUUCCCAUGAUUAUGUUUCAAAAGGGCUAGCACUAGUUGGUGAUGCUGCUCAUACAGUUCACCCCUUGGCCGGUCAAGGUGUCAAUUUGGGUUUUGGAGAUGCUGCUGCCUUAGCAAAAGUUAUUUCUGAAGGAGUUUCUGUUGGUGCUGAUAUUGGGGAUCUAUCUUUGCUUAGUCGGUAUGAGAAUGACCGCAAGGCUGCUAAUGUUGCGAUGGCGGCAGUUCUAGAUGGUUUCCAGAAGAUGUACUCCGUUGAUUUCGGACCCCUCAAUGUGCUAAGAGCCGCUGCAUUCCAUGGGGCCCAGUAUAUAUCACCACUGAAAAGGAAUAUAAUCUCUUAUGCAAUGGGCGAUAAAAAAUCUCCUCUAUUCUCAUAG